rnacentral:misc_RNA from 1 species
UUAAGUUCAGCGGGUAUCCCUACCUGAUCCGAGGUCAAGCGUAAAAAAUAUGGGCUUUGUGGACGCCGCAAUACAGCGAAGAGCGCAAAUUGUGCUGCGCUCCAACACCAGAUUGCCGGCUGCCAAUACAUUUGAGGCGAGUUCGCGCGCGCGGCGGAACAAACACCCAACACCAAGCAGAGCUUGAGGGUACAAAUGAC